rnacentral:lncRNA from 1 species
GAUUGACAGGAGGCAGAGCCCCGUGUUGUCACUAGCGGGCCACAUCGCUCAGGAGUAAAACAGUUUCUGUGAGAGACAAAAAAAGGUCGAUGUGUUCUUAGGUUCCAAAGAUUUCUCCCUGGAAUCAGGACAGAAAGACAUCAUGACAUAUUGAGUUUCUUAAUAUAGCAGAAGAUGAUGGAAUCAUCCAAGGUAAUCAAACCAUCAAACCUGAUGUAGCUUUCAAGCUAGACCAAGAAGAGUCACGGAUAAUGGAUGAAGAAAUCCUAACUCAAAACUUUUUAGACGGUGUCAUCUGUUCCUGGAACUCUGGCGAGCUGCUUUUGGAACAACUGAAGAUCAGGAAAUGUAUGUGGUACUGGUUCUGUGUUGAUGGCCCCCUACCUCUGUCUAGCAACCCAGUCUCUGUCUUCUAGAGACAGAUUCCCUGGAACGUCUUCCUAGGUUUGAACCCAUAAGAGGCGAGAUCUGUCCUACUCCUGUUUCUCUGCUGGGCCUUGGUUUUGGUUCUUCUCUGUGAUUAGCAGCCUCCCUUCUGUGGCUUUCAGCUAGCAACACACACCUUGCUUUUCAGAUGGUAUUUCCCCUGAGUGCUUGUCCGUCACUGGUUGAUUUAAUUCUGAACACUUAUCUGUAAAUAAACCCUUCAUUAAAUGUUCUCUUUAAAAAUUUUAAAGUUUUGUAUGUAUGAGUGUUUUGCGGGCAUGCAUGUAUAUUUGUGUACUAGAUCCAGGCUGGUGCCAGUGGAGAGCAUGAGCGGGCAUCAUGUUCCCUGGAGUGGGAGUCACACAUAGUUAUAUCCCACCGUGUGGGUGUUGGGAAUCAAAUGUGGGUCCGAUGCACAAGUGCUCUAAACCACUGAGUCACCUUGUAGUCCCUAUUAAAUGGUAUUCAAAUUAAAGCUUUGGCUGUGUUGUUGUUUUCUCUUGUUAAAAUGAACAUUUGCUAAUUGUGAGCAUCUGCUCCUAGUACAUGUUCUCAAGGAACAUAAGAGCGACAUUUGUGAAAAUCUUACCAAAUACCUCAUUUCCACUUUGUUUUAGUAUUACAGUAGACGUGACAAAUGCCAAAGUUUUACAGUUUGUGCACAUGUUAAUAGCCCUUGAAUCUGUUUCCACCUGGAACUUAUACCUAAACCUCUGUGUUAACCCAACCCAAAAAGUUUAUAAAGCCUUGUGCUACUUCCGAGCCGGCUAAGCAACCUACAGAAAACGUGGGAUUACCUAUGCAUGACUAAAGACGACAAUUAAAAAGGAAGAAGUCGUUUCCAAAGUAUGAGGGAACUUUCACAUAUUUUCACAUGGAGGUUGGCUCAUUUUUAAGCAUGCUUAGUUUCUGGUCAUGAUACAAAUUUAAACAAGAUUAUGGACAGGAAUGCUUAUCGAUAUUCCAAAGUUAAAUAAAGGUGAACUAUCACUGG